rnacentral:rRNA from 1 species
GUGGGGAAUAUUGGACAAUGGGCGAAAGCCUGAUCCAGCCAUGCCGCGUGUGUGAAGAAGGUCUUCGGAUUGUAAAGCACUUUAAGUUGGGAGGAAGGGCAGUAAGUUAAUACCUUGCUGUUUUGACGUUACCGACAGAAUAAGCACCGGCUAACUUCGUGCCAGCAGCCGCGGUAAUACGAAGGGUGCAAGCGUUAAUCGGAAUUACUGGGCGUAAAGCGCGCGUAGGUGGUUUUGUAAGUUGGAGGUGAAAUCCCCGGGCUCAACCUGGGAACUGCCUGCAAAAGUGCAUGACUAGAGUACGGUAGAGGGUAGUGGAAUUUCCUGUGUAGCGGUGAAAUGCGUAGAUAUAGGAAGGAACACCAGUGGCGAAGGCGACUACCUGGACUGAUACUGACACUGAGGUGCGAAAGCGUGGGGAGCAAACAGGAUUAGAAACCCCAGUAGUCC